GUUCUUCGUUAAUUCUCUUCCUUCCAUUUUGCAUGUGAAACUCCAUCCGAGUCCCUUCGGACUCCCCGCUUAGCAAAUCAUCGAGUUGGAUUUCUUCGAGUUGGCUUCUUUGUUUUUCGAGUCAAGGGAACCGAUGAUCAGGGGUGAAACAUCGAUUCCAAGCCCCGAAAAGUUUGAAAACAUGCUACAUGUCUGCUAUAUACAGUGGUGUACAGGUAAUGUCUACAUGAUAUACAGACUUAAGUGCAGUGAAUACAAGACUG
rnacentral:misc_RNA from 1 species